rnacentral:tRNA from 1 species
UGGUGCAGUAGGUAACGUGUCAGUCUCGCAAGCUGAAGGUCCUGAGUUCGAUUCUCGG